UCCCUGGUGGUCCAGUGGUUAGGACUCCACGCUCUCACUGCGGAGGGCCUAGGUUCAAUCCCUGGUCAGGGAA